rnacentral:lncRNA from 1 species
AUUCUGGGUUAUUACCCGAUUCUACAUAGUCUUGGGGAAAAGUGCGUUCUGGGUUAGCUUGUGGCUAUGUCUGGAACUGGAAUUGUCCUGGAUCCACAAGGGCACAAUGAGUGUGUUGGGAAGAAUGACUGCAUAUGUGGUUUUUACCUGGAGAGCUAUUACCUGGGAAGUGAGGGAGGAGGACACCACUGUGGCCUGCAUAGGAAUAUGGACGGAAAAGAACAGUGGAAAAGAAUAUACCAGACUGGGAAAGACCAGUAUUCAUAAUGUGGCAACAACAAUGGUAGCUGAAAGUUAGGUCUGCUGGUGAUGGAUUGGAUCUUCUGGGUUGCUCUCCAGAAGGCAUUUCAGAAAUAUGUUCAUCCACUCUGGACAACAUCCUGGGAUUCUUGAAUAAGUGGGCAGAAGAAAAGAAGUCCCUGGAAAGAAAUUAUACCUCCAACUUAUCCAAAGUAUUGGGAUUCUGCUUGGUUUAGUUAAGUAAAAUAAGA